UUCGGACUGUAGUCUGCAACCCGACUACACGAAGCUGGAAUCGCUAGUAAUCGCGAAUCAGAAUGUCGCGGUGAAUACGUUCCCGGGUCUUGUACACACCGCCCGUCACACCAUGGGAGUCAGUAACGCCCGAAGUCCGUAGCCUAACCGCAAGGGGGGCGCGGCCGAAGGUGGGUUCGAUAAUUGGGGUGAAGUCGUAACAAGGUAUC
rnacentral:rRNA from 1 species